UAGAGGUUGCAACCGACUGGUAAUUGAACAAGACUAUGAUGAAGAUGUGAGACCUUAUAUUGAGCACUUGAUGGAUGGUCAAAACUACUCUAGAGCCCAGCCAUAUAUUGAGCAAUUGAUGGAUAGUCAGAAUUACUCUAACGCCCAAGCACAUGAUGGUCAAUCUAAUGAGUUGAAUAGUUCUUAUGGUGGCACUGAGAUUCAACAUGAUGACGAGUCAGGUAAUUCAGAAGCAAAAAAGGUUCAUGGGCCUACUUUACUAAAAGAUAUUUGGAAACUUCCGCCGGGAAAGAUAAUUGAUGUGCCAUUUAAUAAUCGUAACUAAGCUAUUGAAAAAGAGGGUCGAAAGCUUGCUAGCUUUCUAGGAAUUAUCGCCAGAACUAACACCUCUACAUGUAGAUGAUUGGAGAAAUUUUGACAACGAAGAAAAGAAGAAAUUGGUCAAUUUUGCGAGGAAGAAAUUCUCUAUCCCAAAACGUGGAGAAGCGUGGGUCUUAAAGUCACUAGGAAAGAAAUGGAAAGAUUACAAGUGCAAUUUGAAGGGUGAGUACGUGAAAAAACAUAAGACUAAAGAUGCUUUACUAAAAUAUAGACCAAGUCGAAUACCGAGGGAUCAAUGGAGGGGUCUUGUCUCUUAUUGGCUUUCUGAUAAAGCUAAGGUAUCAACCUUAAAAAUUCUCCUAGUUUUCUCAUUUUCAUAGCGUUUUGAUUUUAGGUAUGCUCAAUUUUUGUUUAAAGUUUAUAAGAUAUUAUUUUAAUAUUUCAAUGAUAAAGACGUACCCAAGCAAAUAGAAAUAAUAGGUCCAAGAAAAUGAUGCCUCACACAGGAGGAUCAAAAAGUAUUGCCACCUUGAUGAAUGAGCAGGUAAACCUGUGAAAACUAUAAACUAUAAUAUUUUAAACUUUUUUUGUCAUGCAUAUAUGAUAUUAUUUUUUUGUAUUAGGCUGUAAACGGGAUAGAGCCUACACGAGUAGAUAUUUUCCUAUUAACUCAUAAAAAACUUAAGGAUGGUAGGUCACUUGAUGAUGAUUCUGUCAAGACAAUCGUAAGAUUUAUUCUUUCUUUAUUUUUUUGGUUUGAUGACUCCGUUAAACAAUGUGCAUUUUUUCCUAUUCAUGAAUACCAAAGUGGAUUUAUUGUGUAUUCUAUGGUCAGGAAAUGAUAAAUGAAAGGAUGAGCAAUAGUGAAAGAUCUACUGAGCAACCUCCUCGUAGUGUUGCUUGGGAAGGCGAUGUGUAUUCCCAGGUGUUGGGAAAUAAAAAAAAAGUGGGUAUGUUCGUGGUUUAGGACUUGGUCCAACUCCUUCUGUUCUAUGGGGUAGUAGGUCUUUCUUAAGAAAUAUUGUUGCAGAUGAUUCUUCUAAUGAGGUUAUACAAAGGUUAGAACAAUAGAUAAUCGAGUUAAAGGAGAAACAAAAUGAUGAAAUGAAUAUUAUGAAACAAAAUCAGGAGAAUAUGCAAUCAGAAUUACUCCAAAUAAGACAAUUAAUGCGCAAAUAUUCUCCUAAUGCAUCUAUGCCUCAAAGCAGCAAUGGCACCUUAGCUGAAUAGGUAACUCCAUUUAAUAAACUUUAGAUAUUUUAAAUGAAAUUCUAAUCAUAUAAAAGUAUUGUUAUUUAACAUGCUAAUAUUUUUUAGAUCCCCGACGCCAAUAGUGGACAUGAACGAGUACAACAAACAUCAAGAAUGCUUAGUGUUGCUGAAAAUGAUCAACAUUCUCAUGGUCAUACAAUCUAAUGUUUAAUAAUUUAGCGGUUGGAAGAUUUCAAAAUGAUGAAAAGUUGCGGAAAUCAUUUGAAGACCAUCAUUCUGGAUUAUUACUGUGAUGACAUUAGCUAUUUAGUCCAAACAAUAUAUUUUUAUGUUUUAAGUUACUGUGAUAUUAAUAUUUUUGAUUAGUACUUCCUUUUGAUUGUUAAGAUUUAA